GCUUUGGGAACUGCAACUGUUUCAACUUCCUGCAAAGCAGCGAUUCCGAUUUCUUUCUUUGCAACUCAGGCAGUUAGUUUGGGUUGCUAUUCGGAGAUCUCAGAGAGGUGAAGAUCAACUCCAGAAUGUUGCCAAUUACAGUGGUUUGAUUGUUAACUCCUUAAAAAGCUGUUUGACAUAGAACUAGACAUGGAUAACACCAGCAAAAAGCCAGAAUCAGAGUCUUUACCAACCGGUGUUUUUGAGUUGCUAGGGGAACCUGCCAUUUUUAUCAAUGGGUUGCCAGAAAUCUCUCCAGAUGACAGUUCUGUUGUUCUCUCAAGCACUGUGAGUGAUGCAGAAUCACAAAGAAACACAAGUCUAGCUGCAGAAUUUCUUGAAAAUGCUGUUUUUGGUGAAUGGUUGGAAGGAAGGGAAGUUCAAAAGUUGUUUGGAGGCCAAUACUAUACUGGUACUGUGGCUCAGUUUGACAAGGAAACUGGCUGGUACAGAGUGGUGUAUGAAGAUGGUGACUUCGAAGAUCUUGACUGGCAUGAGUUGGAAGAUGUCCUUUUGCCUCUGGAUAUUACAGUUCCACUAAAAUCAUUGGCGCUGAAAAUCAUAAAGAAGGGCCAGAAAACCAUUUACACUCCUGGGCAAAGUGUGACUGGAUGCAAAAUUGGCAAGACUAAAAGUGCAGGAAGUAAAGGGAACGAAGAUAGGGGCGCAUAAUUAAAUUUCAAUACCUGAGAUUAAUAACAGAUGGUGAACAUGAAUAUUUGAGUGCACUAAGGUUGUUGAAUUUGUAAAAUCGAGUUGCAAGAUGAAUCAAACAGAGAGUCAUAUACUUUAUGUUUCACAUUUGUUAUUAUGUACCAUGUAAUGUCGACUUGACUUAAGCAUGACUGCACAAUUGUUGUAGGAGGGGGA
rnacentral:misc_RNA from 1 species